AAUCCGGGAGAGAAUAGCCAAAAAUAUUUCUGUUUUUCCCCUGUGAAAUAAAUGCUCAAGUUAUCUUGGUUACUACCAGUUGCUACAUUAUUUCAGGCGAUGAGUGCUUUGAAAAAAGAGAGAAGAAAAAAAGAUACGAGGAAAUAAAAAGGGGCAAGUGCCCGGAACCUCGAAAGAAAAGAAAAAGUGAGACGAGAGGUAAAAAUGGACAAGUGUUCGAUAGUAGAAUUAGGGGUACAAGAUACCCACCUGAGAGGAAAGAAAAGGAAAAUAAAGUGCAUCUAAUUCUCCUCAAAAGUUUCAAAAGAGCAAGAAAGGUAUGUACCCCUCAAAAGGGGAAAAGUAGAAUUAGACUUUCACCAUUGUUAUCACCAUCAUCACCAUACACCAUUC
rnacentral:lncRNA from 1 species